UUGGUGUAUUUUGGUUGUGCUCAGAUAUCAAAUUACAAGAGUAUUGAGAAGGCUUCUGGCGGAUACCCGCCAAAGAAAUAAGGUAAUUAAGCAUGGGGUUGAAGGUUGGGCCUAAAAGACCCCCUCUUGGUAAUGAUCCUUCCGCAGGUUCACCUACGGAAA
rnacentral:misc_RNA from 1 species